rnacentral:lncRNA from 1 species
AUGUGUUAUUUAUUAUAAUCCGCAAAUUUUCACUUUACAGAUGAGAAAACUGAGACUUCAAAAGAGAAAGUAUUUUGCCCAGAGCUUCAGUGAUUUUACCAACUAACCUUCCCCUUCGGGCUCAACCGCCCUCUGCUCUCUAUAUCUUUAUUCCCAUAGCCUGAACAACAGACUCGGAGGAUGGCCCCUUCUCAGCCUGGAUCCCAGAAUUAUGUGGCACUUUCUUCUUUGGGACAAACCUGGACUGAGUUGGGAGAAGUAGGCCCAUAUGUUCUCCUCUCAGUCGGAGUCUCCCGGGAACCGGAGCGUCCUUCUUGAUAUUCCAUACGGCAGUGUGCCCGCAGGACACUGGCUCCUGGAUGGAGCCGAAAGGAACCUGGCAAAUCGGAACUCAGGCUGUUUCGGAAACUUGUAGGAUCCGGGAUAUAGAAUUGCAAGAAAGCUAUGAGAAAAAGAAGGGUCAGAAAACAGAUGACUUCGCCAACAUUAUACAGAAGGUCUGUGGUCCUGCCACAAAUUCAAGUUCUUUUCAUUACUUCCUGUUGUUUCAUCUGUUAUUCAUUUUUUAUAUAGAUGAUGAAAACCAAAUGACUUCUUAAACCAGUCCAUCUCGACCAUGCCAUGUUUCAUAAUCUAAGGUCUCUUCCAGCUCUCAUAUUCUAUGUCCCAAGUUCCCUUCCAGCUCUUACAACCCGUGAUGCUACUUUUUUUACAUACCCCAGAGGCUAUUCCUUUGUACAGACCCAUACUCCCUACCCUUAGGCAGCAGUUAUCCCGACAUCACCUCUUCCCCUUGCUUUCGGAGAUGCCACUUUAGAAGAAGCAUCUCCCACUGCUGAGAAAGGUGGGAGGAAUGACAGAGGGGGCCCAGGGAUGGGCUGAAUACUGCAGAGUGACCUGCCUAGGGUCUGGGUGGAAGAAAGAGACAGUCUGAAGCCCAUUGUUUAUAAGAACAUCUCUCCCCUGAUUGAUGUUGGCCCUGUGGAAGUCUGUUUGCAAGUUUCUCCUGAAAACAUGAA